AUCACUUAGACAAUACAGAAGACAGGGCACCAGGUGAAGGCUCGGAGAAGGAGAACAUCAGAAAUCAUCGUGACCCCAUCACUUAGACAAUACAGAAGACAGGUGAAGGCUCAGAGCAGGAGAACAUCAGAAAUCAUCGUGAACCCAUCACUUAGACAAUACAGAAGACAGGUGAAGGCUCGGAGCAGGAGAACAUCAGAAAUCACCGUGACCCCCAUCACUUAGACAAUACAGAAGACAGGGCACCAGGUGAAGGCUCGGAGCAGGAGAACAUCAGAAAUCAUCGUGACCCCAUCACUUAGACAAUACAGAAGACAGGUGAAGGCUCAGAGCAGGAGAACAUCAGAAAUCAUCGUGAACCCAUCACUUAGACAAUACAGAAGACAGGUGAAGGCUCGGAGCAGGAGAACAUCAGAAAUCAUCGUGAACCCAUCACUUAGACAAUACAGAAGACAGGGCACCAGGUGAAGGCUCGGAGCAGGAGAACAUCAGAAAUCACCGUGACCCCCAUCACUUAGACAAUACAGAAGACAGGGCACCAGGUGAAGGCUCGGAGAAGGAGAACAUCAGAAAUCAUCGUGACCCCCAUCACUUAGACAAUACAGGGCACCAGGUGAAGGCUUGGAGCAGGAGAACAUCAGAAAUCACCGUGACCCCCAUCACUUAGACAAUACAGAGCCACCAGGUGAAGGCUCGGAGCAGGAGAACAUCAGAAAUCAUCGUGAACCCAUCACUUACACAAUACAGAAGACAGGGCACCAGGUGAAGGCUCGGAGCAGGAGAACAUCAGAAAUCAUCGUGAACCCAUCACUUACACAAUACAGAAGACAGGGCACCAGGUGAAGGCUCGGAGCAGGAGAACAUCAGAAAUCACUGUGAACCCAUCACUUAGACAAUACAGAAGACAGGGCACCAGGUGAAGGCUCGGAGCAGGAGAACAUCAGAAAUCACCGUGACCCCCAUCACUUAGACAAUACAGAAGACAGGGCACCAGGUGAAGGCUCGGAGAAGGAGAACAUCAGAAAUCAUCGUGACCCCCAUCACUUAGACAAUACAGGGCACCAGGUGAAGGCUUGGAGCAGGAGAACAUCAGAAAUCACCGUGACCCCCAUCACUUAGACAAUACAGAGCCACCAGGUGAAGGCUCGGAGCAGGAGAACAUCAGAAAUCACCGUGACCCCCAUCACUUAGACAAUACAGAAGACAGGGCACCAGGUGAAGGCUCGGAGCAGGAGAACAUCAGAAAUCAUCGUGACCCCCAUCACUUAGACAAUACAGAAGACAGGGCACCAGGUGAAGGCUCGGAGCAGGAGAACAUCAGAAAUCAUCGUGACCCCAUCACUUAGACAAUACAGGGCACCAGGUGAAGGCUCGGAGCAGGAGAACAUCAGAAAUCAUCGUGACCCCAUCACUUAGACAAUACAGGGCACCAGGUGAAGGCUCGGAGCAGGAGAACAUCAGAAAUCAUCGUGACCCCAUCACUUAGACAAUACAGAAGACAGGUGAAGGCUCGGAGCAGGAGAACAUCAGAAAUCACCAUGACCCCCAUCACUUAGACAAUACAGAAGACAGGUGAAGGCUCGGAGCAGGAGAACAUCAGAAAUCACCAUGACCCCCAUCACUUAGACAAUACAGAAGACAGGGCACCAGGUGAAGGCUCGGAGAAGGAGAACAUCAGAAAUCACCGUGAACCCAUCACUUAGACAAUACAGGGCACCAGGUGAAGGCUCGGAGCAGGAGAACAUCAGAAAUCAUCGUGACCCCAUCACUUAGACAAUACAGAAGACAGGGCACCAGGUGAAGGCUCGGAGCAGGAGAACAUCAGAAAUCACUGUGAACCCAUCACUUAGACAAUACAGAAGACAGGGCACCAGGUGAAGGCUCGGAGCAGGAGAACAUCAGAAAUCACUGUGAACCCAUCACUUAGACAAUACAGAAGACAGGGCACCAGGUGAAGGCUCGGAGCAGGAGAACAUCAGAAAUCACCGUGACCCCCAUCACUUAGACAAUACAGAAGACAGGGCACCAGGUGAAGGCUCGGAGAAGGAGAACAUCAGAAAUCAUCGUGACCCCCAUCACUUAGACAAUACAGGGCACCAGGUGAAGGCUUGGAGCAGGAGAACAUCAGAAAUCACCGUGACCCCCAUCACUUAGACAAUACAGAGCCACCAGGUGAAGGCUCGGAGCAGGAGAACAUCAGAAAUCAUCGUGAACCCAUCACUUACACAAUACAGAAGACAGGGCACCAGGUGAAGGCUCGGAGCAGGAGAACAUCAGAAAUCAUCGUGACCCCCAUCACUUAGACAAUACAGGGCACCAGGUGAAGGCUCGGAGCAGGAGAACAUCAGA